rnacentral:rRNA from 1 species
UACGGCGGAUGCGAGCGUUAUCCGGAUUUAUUGGGUUUAAAGGGUGCGCAGGCGGUCUGUUAAGUCAGCGGUCAAAGCCCGGGGCUCAACCCCGGCCCGCCGUUGAAACUGGCAGUCUCGAGUUGGAGAGAAGUGUGCGGAAUGCGCGGUGUAGCGGUGAAAUGCAUAGAUAUCACGCAGAACCCCGAUUGCGAAGGCAGCAUACCGGCGCGCAACUGACGCUCAUGCACGAAAGCGUGGGUAUCGAACAGG